GCCCACGUCUCCUCCAAUCCUCAAAGAAAUUGCACACUGCAUUGUUGCGACCUCCAAUUACUCCCGUAAUGCCCUCGUCUCCCCAAUCCUAAAAUUAAGGAGAUUAAAUCCCAGCGAUGAACCCUUGCCAUCGGUCGCUUCUCUUCCUCUCGUUCAUUCCGCUCUUAUCCCUCUCGAAGCUCAUCACACCGCUGGCCCGCUGCCAACUCCCAGCAUCUCCAAUGUUCGUUCAGUUGGGCGGUGAGUAGGAGCACCGCAAGCUGUGGGCACGGCGGCGACGAGCGCGCGGCCAGGGCCGGAUUACCACCGCGACAACAAGCAGGCAGAUCCAAGAUCGAUGGCUUCUAAUGAAGGAGCAGAAGGUUCAGCUCUGCCUGGUGCGGGCAAUGGAAACUUAGUUGAUCCUUCGUCGCAACAUGCUACACCAAUAUUUCAGGCUACCCUGACAUCUGAAGGUGCUACUCCAACAUCUCAAGUUACAUCCAACAGAACUGGUGGUAAGAGAAAGCGAACAUCGGCAGUAUGGGAUGAGAUGGAAGAGAAAAUAGAAAAUGGACAAUUGAAAGCCGAGUGCAAUUAUUGUUACAAAAAAUUUACUGCAGGACCAAGUGCUGGCACAAAUCACUUGCGUUUGCAUUUGGAAUAUUGUCCUGCUAGGCAUGCACCCAUAGGCCCAAAGCAACAAAAAUUUAGGCUGACAAAAGCCGAAGGUGGCAAAGUGAAUUUAGAAAAUGUCAUUUCUGACCAAGAGAAGGCUAGGAGAGAUCUUGGGUUGAUGAUAUGUGAACAUGAGUAUCCUUUAUCUAUCGUGGAACAUAGUGGUUUUCGUAGAUUUUGUUCUUCUCUACAGCCGUUGUUUAAGAUGGUGUGCAGAAAUACUAUUAGGAAUGAUAUUGUGGCUAUGCAUUCUGCCCAAAGGGAGAAGAUGGUGAAUUUUUUGCAACAUUUAAACACCGAGUGGCUGUCACUACGGAUUUGUGGACAGCAGGCUAUCAAAAGAGAGGUUACAUGGCUGUUACCGCUCACUAUAUUGAUGAUACUUGGAAUCUAAAGAGCUUUUUUAUGAGCUAUAAAAUCUGUACAUAGCACAAUAGUAAUUAUUAUCAAUUAGUCAUUUACCAUA